AAUAACUAAAUUAUUUGAUAGAUUAAUUGAAGCUGAAAUUUUGACAGGAAGUAAUAUCGGUCAUAAAGUUUUCAUACCUAGAAUUAUAUCAUAUAAAAAUGAACAUAGAUGGCCAUUUAAAUUUAAACGCCGACAAUUUCCAGUUAGACCAUGUUAUGCAAUGACAAUUAAUAAAAGUCAGGGCCAAUCACUUAACCAAGUUGGCGUAUAUCUUACUGAUAACGUUUUUACUCAUGGACAACUAUACGUUGCUGUAUCACGUGUUACAUCAAAAAGUAGUUUAAAAUUUUUAAUACAUAAUAAUGAAGAAAUACCAAAUAAAUACACUAAAAAUAUAGUGUUCAAUGAUGCAUUAUUAUGAUUGCCAAAUUCAAUUUACACAUGAUAUAAAUAAAGUGAAGUAUUAAGACGUACAAAAUAAAAAAUGAAAGUAUAAAAAACAAGAGGUUUUACAACUUACAAGAAGACAUGGUUGUCAAAAAAAAACUUACAAGGAGCCAUGGUGUAGGAGUCACAAUAUUUAUGAAUCCUUAAGUCCUGAACUAUCUUCACAAAUCAAAUAGCUACCUUUACUCACUACACCUAUUUCCCCUAAUGAUGAACACGCAUGCAACUACAUGCUUCUGCAUGUCACUUUCUGCAUCUUUCCCAUCCACUCCCCUAUUUUUUCAAUUCCCGAAAUUGAGAGAAGAUGAAUACACUAUGUAUGGGCUUCGUGGACAAUCAACAGACAUAGAGAAGCCACAAAAGGAUGUGAUUCUGGUUUUGAGAUUUCAUCAGCCAUCUCCAGAUUACUAAGACUAUGUCAAGUUAAUUAUUUCCCAUACUUUGGAUGAGUGCACACCAACUGUUUGAUCAAAUGCUUAACUGAGAACUAUUUGAUAACACCAACUGUUUUGUUACUCAGGCUACAUUUCAAUCAUCUGCGGUUAUUUUUUGCGUCAAAAAGUACUGCUAAAAUGAAAGGUGAUUCUCAGUUUAAAAUUAGGAUCUUAUUAUAUUUUUAACAGGAUGCGAAAUUCUAAGGUGUCAAAUUUAUUUUGCUGUCUUACUUUUUCAACUGUGUAUCAAAAGGAAACUAAACUACAAGAACCUCUUUAACAGCUCAUGAAUAUAUGCAUAAUUGGAUACAAUUAUUCAUGUAUUUUGGUUUAUCAUUUUCCACUCAAUCAUAUUAAAAUACAAAUUCAUGUGUUGUCUUCACGGGAUUGACAUAUUGAUAUUGCUGCCCUUUUAUUAUCUACUUGGUGAAAAUAAAAAGGUCACAUGUGAGAACACAAGGCAUGACAGAGCUUAAGCUUAAGCUUGACAUCCUCUAAUGCCAUACAUGACACUCUCCAGUCAACUAUUCAAGUUAGUUCAAAUUUGUCCAAGUUCAAAUGGGAGGGCCACCACAAUUUAACGUCAAAAGGAAACAAACACAGAGGAAAUAAAUUGAAAUAGCAUAAAUGAAUCACCAUUGAAUGGUCAGUUAUUUUGGUAGCUUGCACAGUUAGGAUUGGUUUUCAUCUGCUGUGUAUUCCUCUUUCUUUUUUUAGCUGUUGCUAAUUUUUACAUCCAAAAAUAGACAGCCAAUUUUUGCAUUCUUAAUAUGUACAUCCUAUGCUUUACUUUAUAUAUGCUUUAGUUUUGUAUCAAGGUCAGUAAACUUCAUCUGACUAUCAAAUGUAAAUAUGUUUGUAAAUAUAUGCAAAUAUUUCUGUUAUUGUUUUGACAUUUUACAACUUAAUA